CCUACGGGUGGCAGCAGUGAGGAAUAUUGGUCAAUGGCCGGAAGCCUGAACCAGCCAAGCCGCGUGAAGGACGAAGGUGCCAAGCGUUGUAAACUUCUUUUGUCAAGGGACAAAAUCAGGCUCGAGAGCCUGACCGAGGGUACUUGAAGAAAAAGCAUCGGCUAACUCCGUGCCAGCAGCCGCGGUAAUACGGAGGAUGCGAGCGUUAUCCGGAUUUAUUGGGUUUAAAGGGUGCGUAGGCGGACUGUUAAGUCAGCGGUAAAAGCCCGGGGCUAAACCCCGGCGAGCCGUUGAAACUGGCUGUCUUGAGAUGGCGAGAGGUAUGCGGAAUGCGCAGUGUAGCGGUGAAAUGCUUAGAUAUUGCGCAGAACUCCGAUUGCGAAGGCAGCAUACCGGCGGCGAUCUGACGCUGAGGCACGAAAGCGUGGGUAUCGAACAGGAUUAGAUACCCGAGUAGUC
rnacentral:rRNA from 1 species